UGCAAGUCGAACGAACUCUGGUAUUGAUUGGUGCUUGCAUCAUGAUUUACAUUUGAGUGAGUGGCGAACUGGUGAGUAACACGUGGGAAACCUGCCCAGAAGCGGGGGAUAACACCUGGAAACAGAUGCUAAUACCGCAUAACAACUUGGACCGCAUGGUCCGAGCUUGAAAGAUGGCUUCGGCUAUCACUUUUGGAUGGUCCCGCGGCGUAUUAGCUAGAUGGUGGGGUAACGGCUCACCAUGGCAAUGAUACGUAGCCGACCUGAGAGGGUAAUCGGCCACAUUGGGACUGAGACACGGCCCAAACUCCUACGGGAGGCAGCAGUAGGGAAUCUUCCACAAUGGACGAAAGUCUGAUGGAGCAACGCCGCGUGAGUGAAGAAGGGUUUCGGCUCGUAAAACUCUGUUGUUAAAGAAGAACAUAUCUGAGAGUAACUGUUCAGGUAUUGACGGUAUUUAACCAGAAAGCCACGGCUAACUACGUGCCAGCAGCCGCGGUAAUACGUAGGUGGCAAGCGUUGUCCGGAUUUAUUGGGCGUAAAGCGAGCGCAGGCGGUUUUUUAAGUCUGAUGUGAAAGCCUUCGGCUCAACCGAAGAAGUGCAUCGGAAACUGGGAAACUUGAGUGCAGAAGAGGACAGUGGAACUCCAUGUGUAGCGGUGAAAUGCGUAGAUAUAUGGAAGAACACCAGUGGCGAAGGCGGCUGUCUGGUCUGUAACUGACGCUGAGGCUCGAAAGUAUGGGUAGCAAACAGGAUUAAUCCC
rnacentral:rRNA from 1 species